CGUCACGCAGGACUUUUAUUGUCCCGCAUCAGUACAAGGGUGAGUACAGCGCAAUGACACAGUUUGAGAGAGACUGCAUUCAGCUGAACUUAGUGAUGCUUCAAGCCUCAGUCCACAGGAAGGACCCUGGAUGUUCUGGAUGCUCUGAAUGGAAUAGCCCCUUUCUUACGCUCCUCUUCUGACUGAAGAAGCCUACCCUCGGUUGGAUCUUUCUUCUACCUAGAGCAUAACUAGAUUCUUCCAAUUUGCUUCUAAUUCACUAUGGGACAUUUGCAGGGAUAU